rnacentral:rRNA from 1 species
GGAAUAUUGGACAAUGGGGGAAACCCUGAUCCAGCGACGCCGCGUGAGUGAAGAAGUAUUUCGGUAUGUAAAGCUCUAUCAGCAGGGAAGAUAAUGACAGUACCUGACUAAGAAGCACCGGCUAAAUACGUGCCAGCAGCCGCGGUAAUACGUAUGGUGCAAGCGUUAUCCGGAAUUACUGGGUGUAAAGGGAGCGUAGACGGCUGUGCAAGUCUGGAGUGAAAGGCGGGGGCCCAACCCCCGGACUGCUCUGGAAACUGUAUGGCUGGAGUGCAGGAGAGGUAAGCGGAAUUCCUAGUGUAGCGGUGAAAUGCGUAGAUAUUAGGAGGAACACCAGUGGCGAAGGCGGCUUACUGGACUGUAACUGACGUUGAGGCUCGAAAGCGUGGGGAGCAAACA